UGAAUAGGACAAUAUUCCACAUGCCCAUGACUAUCAGAUGGACCGAAAUGGAAUAGAGACAAAAUUAAAGGAAUAAAUUAAAAAUAAGAAUGAAUGAAUUUAAAACAUUUAAAAAUGCGGAAGGACCCAUAGUGAAAAUGACCCACUUUAGCCUUGAAAAUAAUGCUGCCGUUUCUAUGGCCAUUUAAGCCAUUUUUUUUUUCUUUUUUUUUUUUAUUUCAGCUUAUAUUUAAAAAAAAAAAAGAGGAAAACAGAGGGCCUUUGCCCCCUCUCCUUCUCCCUUUCCUAUUUUUCUCCUUUGGCUAAGGUUAGGAAACCUAUCAUCGCCGCUAUUACCACGGCAACACCACAAGCGAUGGUCGACGACGCGAAUGGGUGAGGUCAUUUAGCCCCUUUUCAAGGCGUCCCCGAAGGCUACGCCUUCUCGGUCUUCCCCCAUUCGGUUCAACCCCGACAACGGAAGAAGAACCCCGGUGACGAAACUUCAGACAAUCCCGGUGAGGCCUUCUUUCUUUUUCUUUUUAAUUGAUCUUAUGUCUGCCUCCUUUUCUUUUAAAUGAGUUUGUAUUCAAAUAUCAGUAAAAACAAAGUAAUGAAUAGAACGCGAAAAAGUAUAUCGAGAUCAACCUUAGAUAUUUGUUCUCUUCUUUGAUUCAAAAUGUACGUGCCCUCUCCCCCUUUUACAAAUGAUCGAUUUUUACUUUUUAAAGCCGAUCUCCCCCAACACAUUCGUUUCUUUUUUUGUUUUUGUUCCUUUUUUUUAUUUCUUCUUGUCAUUCGCAUGCUUUCUUUUGAUGUCGUGUUUGUUCUUGUUGCAGGUGCCAUGCGACGCGUGGAAGGGGCGACGGUCAGGGGCGUGGUGGCCGAGGUGGCAUGCGUGGUGGUGUGCGAGGCGGCCACUGGUUGGCCUGGUGUGCGGCUGAGGCUUGGGGGCUGAGUUUUUUUUGCUGCUGAAAAUGUUUAGUUUGUUGGGCUAGGUCGGCUUUAGGGUUUUGUAUUAUUUGGGUCAUUAUAAUUGGGUUUGGGCUGUUCAAUGUGGAUAUUGGGCUUGCUGUUUUUUUUUCUUUUUUUUUUUGUAAAAUGGACUUUGUUUUGGGACUUUUAUAUUUUGGAAUUAAUUUGGGUUUUUAUUUCUUGUUGGCGCUGAAAUUGGCUGUAAAUGGGUGAAGGAAAGCUUUUAUUCAUUCAAUUCCUUCUUGUCAAUUUUGUAUCUUCUGGAAAUCUAUCCUUUUAGCCGAUAUAUGUUUAAUUUGAGUUGAACUUUCAAAGAAAAAGCCAAUACUAGUAUUUCACCCCAUAUUCACAAUUGUCAAAGGAUCUUAACUCUCCAUCAGAUGAUGAUGUUGAUAAUAAUAAUAAUAAGUCAGGUCAUGGUGCUUAAGCUUGAUCCACCGUGACGAAAACAUUUGCGGGCAUAGCGAGAUCAGACUCAAUCACAACUUGAUUUUCAGACACAUUUCUCAGGGCAUGGCUAGGAAAUGAGCUGCCCCUGCUUGAUCUUAGUGAAUACUGAACAUGCUUAAUCAGGUUAGGAAAUAAAAGAACAGGAUUAAAAUCAACCGUCCUGGAGCUGCUAUUCCCUUCAACAGACCCUCUCGCAACUGUUGCUUUAAUGUUCAUCCCCUUGGCACUAUUCCUAUCAACUACAACCUGAUCAAUUUCUGUGAAAGGACCCUCUAACUGGAUUAUAUCAACCCCCUUAUUAGAUCCACUGAACAUGUUAUCCACUACAGUCACUCCAUUUGCUACCCCAUUUAUUGAUUUCAAGAGGAUAAAUGCAUCACCGAGGAAAAAACUGCUAGAGAUAUGAAGUUGCACUGGGUCUUCAGCCACAAUCCCAGUGUAAUCUAGGUAUGAAUUCACUAUCCGGGUUUGUGUAAGACCAGGCAGCUUCAAGUAAAUCCCCGUGCCACCAAAACCUGUUGCCUUGUUGUAACAAUGCACCCCAGAAAAAGUGUUGGCUUGACCUGAGGCCAUUAUUCCUAUGGCAGCUGAAAAAAUCACCACAUCCGUCACUGCAUUAUCGUUUCCCAUUAGGUUAAUUGCAGUGCCGGUAUAGUUCCUUUCGCCUGCAUCACCACCGGCCGUGAUAUGUUGCCCAAGGAAAGAAUUCCUGAUAUAGGUCUCGUGCCCGCCUUGGACUAAAAUUCCAUUAGUGGAGAAAUGGGCAAUCUAGCAAUUGUCAAUGCUAGUCCUUAGUGAGUUUAUAACUGAAAUGCCACCACCUCUGUAAUUAGAAUCCAACAUCAGGUCUCUGAGGGUUAUGUACUCGUAGUUAUAGGAUGACGAUGAUGAGGUAAGCUGUGAAUUCAAUUUCAAGGAGCUCCCUUUUCUUAUUUCUUGUUCAGUUCUGCUAGCCCAUGAAUUUGGAGACAAAUCAAUAAGAUACCCAUCAACCGGAAAAUCAUCUGAGGCUCGUAGUGUCCCUCCGUGGAUCUGCUCCAUAUAUAAUUUAAAUAAAGAAAUACCCAACUCAGCAAAUUCAAACAAAGUUUUAUUUGGUGAUAUAGUUUAUAUGCUUCAUUAAUUAAUCUGACGUUGUUAGAUACCAAAAAAGAAAAAAAAUAACUCGACGUUGUUAAUUAAUGAAACCUCAACAUACGUAAAUUUUAUAUAUGUUAUAUUACGUCAAUUACAGAAUCUAGACCCAGACUCUCUCUUCUCCAACGAUUGCUCAUUGGAAUUCAGUAUGGUGAGCAGGUCUACAAUGUUGCAAAAUGUACAUACUAUAUUAUAUUAUAUACAGUCUGUGCCAGUUUAACCAAUUGGAAUUAGGUGCACAUCAUCUCAUUUUCAUAUGAUAAAAAAGGUCGUCAUUUCAGUCUUCAACAAAUAUGUUAUCAUCAAUUCCAAACAUGCACAUAUCCUACUAGCUAUUAUUAUUACCAUUUUUUCUAUCCUAGAAAAGACCGAUUGCUUUGCUUUGAGAGUUAAGUGCCGAAACAUUAACAUAUAGAAAUCUGCAAUUUUCUCAGGGACGACAUAAGUCAUCCAACCAGGUGGGUUUCAUUCACCAAAAACACCAGAUGCUUAUAUGUGUGUAUGUGUGGUACUGCUAGCAUAGAAACGGUAAUUAAGUAGGUAGAUGAUGAGCCAAUAUAAAUACAAGUAUAUAUAUUGUUCUACUUUAUAAAGAAAGAUUAUGACAUGACAUCAAUUAGCUAGUAUAAAAGAUAAUUUCAAUUGAUUAAAAAUGUUUGGUUGCGCAUACCAUAAGAUUUCCUGCACCGGCAGCAACUAACUGCAAUGGUUUACUGAUAAGGUAGUUCCCACCUUCAAGAUUAAUUUGUGGCCCUCCAAGAUUAGUGAUCCCCUCCAUCAAGAACCCUUCACUAGGAACCUGAAAUGCAUCCGCGAUUGCCUUGUUUAGUGCUUCUGUGCUGUCUGAUUUCCCCGUUGGGUCUGCUCCAUAAUUUGUUACAUGAUACACACGUGGACCUAUGGCUUCCUAUAUAUCCAAAUCCAUUCUCAAUUACAUUGCAUUAAUUUAAUUAAUUAACAUCGUUCCGCCAUUGAGGAAAUGUUAGAAAUUAGAUGCACAAGAAAUUAUUUACCUGCAGUGGCGAAGAAGAGGAUGAUGAAGAAGAGGGCGAGAUAGGUGAAACUGAAACGGAUUGUCGACCAAUAAGAGAAGCCUUAAACGCUUGCAAUUGGCGCAUUUGGUCGUGGUAAGGAGAAGCAGAAAACUUUCCCACUCGUGAAUUAUCGCCAGAAACAUGGAUUAGGAACAAACCCAAUAUCAUGGAGAGUGUUGCUACAGCAAUAUUCCUUCCUCCCAUGUUUCUUCUCUCCAUCAUCUUUCGAUCUGUUUUCUCUCCGUUUUGAGAGAGAGACAUACGGUUUAAAUGACGAAGGGAAGGAGCAAGAGGAGGAACAUGGAAAGAGAAGGGGCUAACUAAGAUUUGCUAGGAAAUCUAUAGAAUGUUUUAUAAUAUUAGAUCACACACAUGACACCUAUAGUUUCUGUUUAAAUGUGUGGGGGAUUUUUAGACAUGACUUGCGAGGAUAGCUUGCUUAGGUAAAGCCUGUUUGAAAUUUAAUUUCUUGUCUGACAAUGGAUAAAAAAAAUAUUCUUGUUUGACAAAACACUAAUCACUUAUCAGCUUCUUAUCAACUUUUUACCAACUUCUUAUAUUCAUGAAUUGAUAUCUUGCGUUGAUGGACCCAGACCUUCGCAUGAGAACGAGAAGGAGAAAAAAAAAUUUCUUCAAUUUUCUGCUGAUUCACAUAUCAAAUGAGUAGAAUAUUUAUAUACACACAAAUUAAAUAAUUGAUUAUUAAACGCAUAUAAAUUAAUUGUGGAGUGAAAUUAAAGAAUAUUAAAAAUGCAAUUAAGAGUGAAUAUGUAUAUGUUACAAUAAGGAACCAAUAAAUUGAAAUAUUACUAGGCAUGUGAUGUAAGUAACAUACAGAGCAUGAUAAAUUUAAUUGAGAGAUGAAUUAAAUGGGAAGGAACAAAUAUAAUGGUAGAAGACUAGCUAGAGGACUGAAAAAGAAAGAGAUAAGUGGUAUAUGAAUUCAAUAUGUUUGUCUAUUUUUACGCCUGCCCUGCCAAGUAGAAGGAUGGAUCCAGUUCCCCUACUAGCUAGAUUGCCAAUGCAUCAAAGAUAGCUAGGUCCAGUAUUCUUUUUCAUCUUGGAUCUUGUCUUUUACUUACUAUUACAAAGCAUAAGCAAUCGUCGUAAGUCAGACAAAGGGUUAGGAACUAUAAUUAAAGUCAUUUUGAUGAAAACUUGGUGAUUUCUUAUACCAUUUAUUACUUAAAUUACAAUUGCAAUUAUAAUUAUAAUUAUAGUUUAACUUUUUAAAAUUUUUGUUAAACAUCCAUUUAACACCAUUUAACACGACUCCAUUUUAAUUUAUAUGCACACUAACAUCAUAAACAUAUAAUUUAUUAUUUAUAUAUCAUUUACACCAUGUUUGAUUGGGUGUAAUGAAUUAGCCAUUACACCCCUAUUCCGUGGACCCACUUAAUCCCUUGUUUGGUUCAAUGUAUUGCCCUAAUACGGGCUUAUUACAUUACGGAGGUAUUCCUUAUUUUCUCUGCUUCAACGCUAAUUUCUAAUACCUUCCAAAAGUAAGGAUUAGCUAAUCAGAGUCUAUUUUACCCUCCCAGCCGUCUUCUCAUUUCUUUCUCAUUUCUCAUUUCUUUCUCACAUCUGAAGCAUCUUCUUCUUUUUUUCAUUUUUCUUUCCAUUUCCUUCCAACCUUCUCCCUCCUUUUCAUGCUUCUAUCCUGACCAACCCUUUAACAAACCCUAACAACCCUCAACAAGGCCUUCAAUUACAAAUCGUAUGAGGUAACAGAGUAACAGAGAGUAGCAGCAAUGGUUUCCAAGUACGCUUCUCCCUUCUUCUAUUCCUUUGAUUUCAAUUAAAUUUCUUUAUAUAUACCAUGAAUUUAAUGAUCUGUUCUUGAAAUAUUGUUUCUUUAUUUUUUUUGUUUUCUUCAAAUGCAGUGAGUAGGGAAGUCUUUUGACAUUGUCUGCCAAUUAUCUCCAAAUGCAGUGACUUCAAAUGCAAUGAAUCCCAAUUCAAUCAAGGUAAACAUUGUCUGCCCUAACAUUCUUUCAACAUGUUUUCCCUUUUAUGUUUUUUUAUGACGAAAGAUUCAACAUUUGUAGAAAUUGAAUCUCUUCUCCCUAACCUUGUCUGCCCUAACCUUCGAAUCUGUAUUUGCUGAUAUGAGGUUUAAUAUUUGUAUUUGUAAAUCUCUUCUCCCUUCUAAUUACAUUUUCUUAUGAAAAAAAAACCACCUUUAAAAAGGAGUAGAAUAAAGGGAUAAAAGAAGAGAGAACUUCUUCUGACUAAAUGCUGGGCAACGAGUGCGGUAGAGGUCUACACAGUUCCACCUAAAAUGGGAGUGGUUUAUUAAGACCUAAUGUUGUGCUAUAUUUCAAUCUAUGCGCUUACACAACACACAUGCAUACAUACAGCUACUGUAUUGUAUUCAAAUGAAAAACUAGACUACUUGGAUCAUCAAUUUAUAUAAUGAAUGCCUCAACUUGUAUGUAUUUAGCAAAGAAAGAUGAGAACCAGGAACUGAGGGUAUCCCUUUAUAAAUUUGUCAAAUUACAUCCACCUUGGGGGAAUUUAUCAAUUAUUUUCUGCAAGUCCAAGGAUAAUCCAAAAAUAUGCUAAUGCCAAUCUGUAGGUUUCAAAUUGAUGAUAUGAGGUUUAAUAUUUGUAUUUGUAAAUCUCUUCUCCCUUCUAAUUACAUUUUCUUAUGAAAAAAAACCACAUUGAUGCUCAUUCGUUGAUGUUACUUAAAAAAAAGAGUUGUUGCAGGGGAGACCAAAGUCCAUUUUCGUAUUACAUUUGUACAUAUGCUAAUGUUCAUUUUCUACAUCCUUGUCUCGUUGAAGCAGUCCCCUAGUACUGGGGUUUGAUUGAAAAUUAGCAUAUGUGGAAAUCAAGUAUCAAGUAUCAAGUUUCGAAUUUCAAGUCGAAUUUAAACUCAAACUUAUCAAUAUUGGAGCUCGGCUCAACUCAAUUACACCCCUAAUUUCUACUGCAGUAGUUAGUCCACUAUAGAUAUGAUAUUUUAAUCUAAAUUAUCUUUUUUAUAUUAGUCCACAAGCAAGCCCUGUCCCUCUCUUGAGCAUUGUUUCUUGAAUUUAUCAUUCAUUUUGAAUUUCCUAUAUAAAUAUCCACUACAAGGUAACUUUUAGAAUGCCAUAUUUGUCUACCUCUUGUACUCUCUUGCACUUGAGUGUGGUUAGAUACAUAUAUACCCUAAACCCAAUUAAACUAGCUUUCCUUUAUAAGCUAAUUUUUUAUGAAAUGAUCUUUUUCAAAGUUCAACUUCGUUGAGCAAGCUAAGAUGGCAAAUAAUUGGAUUUAUCCAACCUUUUUUAUGCAGGUGAAUGUAGGAGAAUGUCAUUACCAGCAAUGUUAGUAGGGGAAACAGUGGGUGAAAUGCUUCAAGCAAAUCAAUUUGCAAGACAGAUCCUAGCUGUUGUUGAUAACAAAACCAAGAAUACUUCUGCGGAUCCUAAAACUCCAUUGACUGAACACAGGAAGCAAAGAUGUCAAUUUUUAAAGGUAAUUGCAUGAACCAAUUGAGUUAAAACUCAAAUUUUUCCGUUGUUUUUUUUCUAGUUUUGCCAUGAUAUGUUCCCUGUUCUGCUAAAAUAUACUGUUCUUGGUGCUUCUAGUCUCUGAUGGAAAAGGAUGAUUCGAAAUGCGGGCAGAAUGCGGUGGUGGAGAGGAAAACCGUAUUAGUCCCGAAAAGUGAGACCAUAGUUCAUGCAAUUGUUAGGAAUGUUAAAACAUUUGACUACCAAUUAAGCAAUGGUGAUAUGAAGCCAAUAAAAAAAGGUUUGAAUGGUUUGAAAACAACUCGGAAGCAGCGAUCCAAAGGAAGUAAGUGAAAAACGAGACUGUAGAGACUUGAGAGACAAAAGUGUUUGUAUAUGAGGUAAAAUUGGAUUAGAUGGAGUGUGCUAUAUAUAUGUAUAUGGGACUGAGUGAAUUUUGAUAGGUAUUAGCACUCGGGUCUCUAAAAGCCAGCAUGGUUAGUGUAACAUCAUCACCCAGUUUUAUAGGGACAAGAUUUUGGAUAUUAUCUCAAACGUUUUAAGGCCUAUUAACAUAUGGCGUAAAUUUUAAGCACAAUCCCUAUAUUAUUGUAUAACCAUAGAUACAGCCCUCAAUCUUUACCAUUUUGGUUAAUUUAGUCUGUAACAUUUCCCUUUUAUUUCUUCUUCAAUUCUAUUUAGAUUCUACCAGAAAGCAAUUUCACAUUUUUUCUUUUUUUAAUCUUACUAGGUUAAUAUUUUACUAUACCUCUAUAGAACACUUGUCAAUCUUUUGACUCUAUUUGUGGAGUCUAAAAGUGUAUCAUUUAAUUGUUUAAAGCACCAUUUUCCAAAUCUAAUAAAAUUCAUCAAAUUUAUUUAUUAAAUUUUCAUCAUAAUAAAAUUGAAGAAAAAAAUGUGAGAUUCCUCCUCAGAAUUGAAGAGAAAAAGGACAAAAAUUAAACCUAUAAUUUGCCUCAGAUGAAACAAAGAGUUUGACAAAUUCGUGGUGAAAUCAGGUUUAGUAAGAGAGAAUGGUUUAAAUGCCAAAAAAUUUGAUUAUAUUUAAUAAUAAUUAUGUUAUAUUAUAUUUUAUACUAUUAUAUAUUAUAAUUUUAGUAAAUUCAUAUAAGAAUAUUUAAUAUUAAGAAUUUUAUUAAAUCAUAUAUUUUAAUUAAAAUAUAUUUAAUAAUAAUUAUGUUAAAUUAUAUUUUAUAGUAUCAUAUAUUAUGAUUUGAGUAAAUUCAUAUAAGAAUAUUGAUUAUUAAGAAUUUUAUUAAAUUAUAUAUUUUAAUUAAAAUAUAUUUAAUAAUAAUUAUGUUUAAAUAUGAUUAAAUUAUUUAUUAUUGAUAAUAAUAAUCUUAUUAAAAUUUAAAUAACAAUAACAAUAAUCAUUUACCAAAACAAAUUUAUGCUAAGGGUAUUCUAGUCAUUUUAGUUUUUUCCAUUAUGCUAUUACACUUCUAUUCCAUUCAACCAAACACAAGAUUACUAUUACGCCUCUAUUCCAUUACAUUCAACCAAACAGUUGAUUUGCUAUUACACCUCUAUUCCAUUACACCUCUAAUCCAAUACAGCAAACCAAACGUGUUUUGUACAAAUUCUUCAAAUUUUCCAUUAAAAUUCUUCCCUAAAUCACGUCUUUUGAUUUUACUUACCUGAUUCCCCCAUCCAUGGCCCUGAUUACAGGAUCAUUAACGCCCGAGUCCGCUGCAAAAACUAAAAAUUGUGAACCCCCAAUCCAUUGUCGGAGUCGUCGUCCCUCACUAUUUCUACAUUACAUACCCUUCCUCUUUUUCAUCGUUCCACAAGCAUCCAUGGCCUAUAGUUUUCCUUUUCCACACGCCGCUGAAUACCCAUGUUUUCAACCAUCGUUUCUUCCCCAUUAACACCAGUAUUCAAUGCCUUAUUCUUGCUCUCUGAGCAUAGAUCAAAAUUAUGGCCAUGAAGCCCAUAAUUGAAACAUACAAUUUGGAAAAUAUUCAUACUCAAUUCGUUGUAUAUGACCAUUGAUCUUGACUUUCAACACCAAUACUUUCUUUAAAUCCACACAUACUGCCAAUCGAGUAAAACCUCCCCGCCUUCCACUAUCCAGGUGAGUAUCAAGUUUAGCCACUGGUCCUAUAGCUUGUCCAAUAGCACAAAUCAAGCAUUUUGAGUAAUAGCUUUCUGGCAAACCCCAUAGCCUUAUCCACACCAUUUGUAUAUCCACUUCAUUAUACGAAAUCGAAAACUCCGGUGACCAAGGAUUCACAGUCAAAUAUUGACCAAAGAUUAACCAUGGUCCUCCGACCAACACGUUAUUAAAAUCUCCUUCAUCUUGGAACCAAACUAAGUAGUAGUCAUUCUCUAAGUCCUUAAGUUGUAAAGGUUGUCUAAGACUCCAUAAAGUCGUCACCUUAUUAAGUACAGCAUUAAAACCUAUUUUCCUACCCAGAAGUUUGACGAUAAUGGUCCUAGCCAUCUUCCUCCCAAUGAACUUAUGAACCCGAUCAGAAAAGGUAAUCGACAGUACUCCUUCUACUAACUUCGUGACUACAUCUCCAUCAUGAAGUACAAACUCCUCCUCCAACUUCUCCGGUGAAUAGGCAUUCAGGGAAGUGCUUAUCAACAUAGAUUUAUACGACAUUUAUCCACUCCCACAUCUUCAAUCUUCUGACCAUUUUCAUCCACUGUUGGAUCAUCCAUGGCGAAGGAUCCAUCCUCUUCCUUACCUUCUUUGUUGCCCUACGCACAUAUCGUUAUUUAACUCUGUAGGGCACUUCCCUACCACAAAAUUCUCCAAAGCGGAGAGACAUCCAUUCAAAUCAGUUAAAUUUGAUUAUUAACACUUCAAAAAAAAAAAGUCAAUGAUUUUUUUCACAUAAUACUAACUAAAAUAUUAAUUUUUAACGAUGUUGACGUAACAACUUAUGUGACAGCCUACAUGUACUUUAUACUAACAUAACACUAGUUGUCUUAUACGUUAUUUGAACAAAUAAUUUAAAAAUUACAAAAAUAUUUUUAAAAAAAUGAGAAAUUUCAAAAUUAAAAAAAAAUAUAUAAAAAGUUGAAAAAAAUAGCAUGAAAUAUAUAUGAGUUGUCAUGCAGUUUGUCAUAUUUAAAAAUUUUACAUUUUAGUUAGUAUUUUCUUUAAAAAACAACAAUUCGACUCUUUUUGAAAGGAUGGUAGUCAAAUUAGACUCUUUUUAAAAAAUUGAAAGUUAAAUUUAACUAAAAAAAGAGUCAAAUUAACUAAAAAUGUAAACUUUGAGAACUAAACUUGACAUUAUGCCAUUUUAAAGCAUAGGAAAUUAAAUUAGAUGAAUUCAACUUGAUAAAUUAUUUAAACUCAAUUUUAUUUAAUAUUUUUUAAAAAUAUAUCUGAAAUACCACCAAUUAUAUUUUUUAUACUCCACAAGAGUUGAGAGUUUGACUUCAAUUACCCAUAUUUUUUUAUCUAAUUGUGAAUUUAAAUUUGCACUAAUAGCCUGUGCUAAAAACAAGUUUUAACUCUCUUUUUUCGAUAUUAAAAACAAGAUUUAACUUAAUUUCAUCUCUUCAAGUAAUCCAAUGUAACUGAUAAGCCCCCUUCUCUCCCCCAUAUACAUGCAAAAGCAAAUUGCUUGCAAAAUAAACGGAUCAUUUUAUUUAACACCAUUCCGUUGUUUUCGUCAACAAUUUGCUUGUGGUUAUGUUGUCUCCGUUUCUUCUGUACCCAUCCCUCCACCGAAAGGAUCCCUCGGUCAUCUCUGUAGAAACCAUUUUUUGAAAACAGGAUCGACUUGAUUUUGAAGACGAAAUUUAAAACGAGAGCCGCCACCGAUCUUGAUUUGGUGUGAUCAGGUCACCUUUGUUUUAAUAAAACAAUUUUAGUUUACUAGAACGACAUUUUGGUCUACGAAAUCCAAGAGAAUAGGUUCGGGUGUCGGUUACGUGCGAGGAAGGAUUAGCACCCUCGACACACCCAAAAAUUGGUACCGAAUUGAUUAGUUAAUGUCUUAAUGUCGAAAGCUAAAAAUCGGGAAUGGAUUUUUAAAUACAAUUUUUUAUUAAUAUCGAUUUUAAAAUUCUUGAAUUAGCUCAAAAUGAUUGUUAAAGAUUUCCUUAUCUCGAGAUAUCGGGGUAUCACAUUCCGUAAGUUAGGACACAAUACCAUGAAUUCUCGAGCGGAAGGUCAUCUUUUAUUUUAACUAGAAAUCCAUGUGUUUUAACUCGAAAAGGAUAUUUGUUAUUUAGAAACAAUGAGAAAAUUGAAACCCCGUAAGUUAGGGCACAAUUCCCGGAUGUUCCAAAAUGCGAAACAUUACUUUAUUUUGAAAUUCUAGUUUUUGAAUAGUAGCAAAGGUAGUAUUUAAACGAUGUACGUUAUUUGUUUAGGUUAAAACGAAGCGAUUUAUUGGAUAAAUGUAAUGAAAUUUAAUUGAUAAGGCGAUAAUAAAAAAUAAAAAUAUGAUGCGACAUAGAGUGAUGAUACAUGAAUAAAGUAUUACGCGAGCAAAUGACAAUAGAGGAAAUACAAAUAAACGAAUUAUAACACACACAAUGGCAAUAACAUAACAUAUGUCAAUUAAAUAACAAGCUUAAUAAACACAGAAAUGAGGUGAUAAUAUAAAAUGAUUUGAAUCAAACAAAUAGAUAAUCUUAAAUAUAAAAUAUAUACAUAAAGGAUUUUAAAAUAAAUACUAUAAAGGCAGCUUAAAGUAAAUAAUAAAAAAAAUCUAAAAUCAUUAAUGAAAAGUUUAAAAUCAUAAUACGUAAAAAGAAGUUCAAAAUAAAUAAUAUACAUAGUAUAAAAACUUACAUAAAUAUAUGCAUAAAAAAAUAGACAACGAGCAAAGGGUUUAAGAUAAAAACAUAUGAAAAUUUGAAAAUAAAUGCCCUAUACAAUAAGGCAGUUUAAGGAUAAACGUUAUAUAAAUUUAAAAUAAUAAGUAAUUCAAAAAUGAUAUAUAAAAAGGUUUAAAAUAAAUAAACGAAAAGCAAUGUAAAAUAAUUAACAUGUAUAUAAUAAUUCAAAAUGAUAUGUAAAACCAAAACAGUAUAAAAUAGAUAAUAUAUAAUAUAGUUUAUGAUAAAAAUAAGUCAAAAAUGAAUAUUAUGUAGAUAGAAAUUUAAAAUAAGUAACAUACAAAACAUUUAAAAAAGGGUAUAUAUGAAAAUGGAUAACACAUAUAGAAAUUUGGAAGUAAUAAUAUACAAAAAAAGAAUAUUUUAGAAUACAUAAUAAAACAAUUUAGGAUGAAUAAUACAUUUAACGAAUUUAAAAUAAACAAUGGAUAAAGCAAUUUAAAGUAUAUGAAAUAAUUUAAAAUAAUAUAUAUCUAAGACAAUUUAAAACAGUAUAAUAUAUAAAAUUUAAGGUAAAUGGAAAUAGUUUAAGAUAAAUAAAUAAACGAAAUGUCUAGAUUGUCAUGAAAAAAAGGGUGAAAUUACAAAUAAAACAAAGAUUAAGGGUCCAAAUUCGAAUAAAAUAAAUGCGAAUAUUAAAAGGACUAAAUUAAAAUCUAAAUAAAAUUAAAGAGAGAAUUCAGAAAGAAAAAAAAAGGGUAAUAGACUUAUUUAAAACGUGCCGAAACCUCAAGGGACUGGUUGGAAAAUUUUCCCCAACCCCUUAUGCGCAACGUUUAAUUUGUCUAGGUCAGGGACCAAAUCAGUAAUGAAAUAAAAUAAUUGGGCGCUAUUAGAAAGGAUAAAAAAACGCAAAUUAGGAUCAAAUCAAGGGUCAGAAAAGGGGGAGGGCCAAAGUGGGUAAUUUCCCAUUCAAGGGAGACAUGCGGACCCCUCCCCUUUCUAAACGGUGCCAUUUGCUUCUUUUAUUUAAGUUAAUUUUUUUUUAAAAUUCAUUCUUCUACUGGUGUUUAAAAAAAAAACUUUUAAACACCCCCCAUUUCAAUUCCUCUGCUAAGGUUUUAAACCCCCCAUUUUUGCCUCAUCCAUGGCCGACCAUGAACUCCUCGGCGGUCCUCCACGCCCAUGCCACGAAUCUGUGACCAGUAUUGUGCGAUGUGGGAUUCUCCGACCCUCUUUGAACGAGUUCGAGGAUGGAAUCUCCCCAACUUGCGGCACCAUAAAGAGAGGAGGAGCCUUUUGGUUUCUCUCAAUCCGCCACGGCCAAUGGCCAAACCCCAAAGGUUCGGCGACCUUCAGAUCGGCGAGGGAAAGUCGGAGCACGCCCCAAGCAGUAAACCGUAAGUUUCCUUUUUUAUUAUUCGUAUUUUAUUACUGUUUCGUGUGUAAAAAAUGAAAAAGAAAUAAAGAAGAAAGCAAAUCUAUGUGGAAAAGAAUGAAAAUCGAAACUCAACAAUAAUCACCUUUUGAAAUCGUCUAUUCUUUUGAUUAAUUUCGUUUGGUAAAUGUCUGUAGUUGUUUACAAAGCAUAGAUUUCGGCUUUUAAAGCCAAUUUACCAACCGUUCACUUCCCCUUUUUUGUUCUUUUGUUCAUUAUUUUCUUUUGCAUGCUCUCUGUUGUUGCAUCUGAUUUGAUUGCAGAUGUUAGAAGUGAAAGGCUGGUGGUUGGCUUGAGGGGAGGCCAAGGGUUCGGCAGCACGCGUGGCUACUGAAAAAAAUAAAUGUAGUGGGCUAUUAGGGUUAGUUUAGGUAAUGGGCUAAUAGGGUUUUGAUUUGUUUUUUGUUUUAAUCUGUAAUGGGCCAUUUAUUUUGGACUUUUAAUUUGGGUUUUAUUAUUUUGUUGGCCAGGCCAAAAUUGGCUAUAACAGCUGCCCCUCUUUGCUCAUUCUCGUGUAAUGAGAAUGGAGCAAAGACCUUAAAAUAGCCAAUUUUGCCUUGUCUAACUGGAUCUUGGCUUCUUGGUGCUUCUUUUCUUCGAGUAACCUCGCUCCAUCCCACUACAUCUUCAGGGGUAUUGGAAUUAAUUCUUUGGUUUGCUCCAAUGUAAUUUCAGGGAGAGGAGACUUGUAGCUUCGAUCAACUCCGCUGGAACUUCAAAGGACUAUGUAACAGCCCGAUUCUGGGCCUAGUCGGAAUAGUGGUUUCGGGACCACAAAUCCGACGAGGGAAAAUAUGGUUAUUAUUAUAUUUUUAUGAUCUACAAUUUCACGGAAAAUUUUCGUAAAAAUUUCGUUCGAAAAUUUUGACGUUUGGGCACUCAAUUUAGUCAAAAGGACUAAAUUGUAAAUAGUGCAAAAGUUGAGUUCUACAUCUUAGAGGUGUCUAAUUGUUAUGAAAUUUUAAAUUGGAGGUCUUUAUGUGGUAAUUAGACCAUUAGUUAGUUGAUGGACAAAAAUAGACAUAAGAAAUGGGUGAAAUAGAUUUUUUUAAAAUGGGGGCAUUUUAGUCAUUUGGUUAUUAAAUAGAAUUAAAUGG
rnacentral:lncRNA from 1 species